rnacentral:lncRNA from 1 species
CAGCUCCAAGGAGAACCAGGCCAGCAACGAUACCCACGAUGGGGAUGGUGGGCUGAGAAGACUGCUCUGGGAAAAAAGGGGAAGAAGGCACCACCACAGCUGCCCACUUCUGGAAGGUUCCAUCCCCUGCAGGCCUGGUCUCUAGAAGCUCCAUGUCCCGAGUCUGGUCCUCUCCAUCCUGCUGCCAGGAUCUGGAAACCCAGGAGGAUUCCUCUCCCUCAGGACCAGAGAGAGGACGACAUUCUAGUGUUGGUCCCAUUUUCCUUCUCUCUUUGUGGGAAGCCAGCCCAGGAGAUCUACAGGCGAUCAGGGAGGCGUCUUGUGUUCCCUGGUACCCGUGAGCUGCAGCGUCUCCUUCCCGUUCUCCAGGUGUCUGCGAGCCUCUCCACGCACGUGCCCUCCAGGUAGGCCCUGAUCUGCUCUGCAAAUUCUUCUGCCUCCCACUUGCGCUUGGUGAUCUGAGCCGCCAUGUCCGCCGCGGUCCAGGAGCGCAGGUCCUAGUUCCGGGCUAUGUAAUCCUUGCCAUCGUUGGCGUGCUGUUCAUACCCGCGGAGGAGGCGCCCUUCCAGCCCCAAGUCGCAGCCAUACAUUAUCUGGAGGGUGUUAGACCCUGGCCCCGCCCCCGCGGUCAG